UAAAAAAGUUUGCUUUAGGAAGGGGGCCCACAGCCCCCAGAACUUUGUGCUACAUCCCUACCUUGGGUGAAUACCUGGCCUGGAGCAGUAUUUUGAUUGGUGGCAAGUUUCACUGCCUGAUCAGUGAUGUAGUUAUGAUAAUAACACUGCAUUAAACACUUAGGAACCAGCUGGCACAGAGCCUCCUGUGGAUGAUGGUCUUGGUAAAGAGAAGAUUACACUCAAGAAUUUGAAAACCAUAAAAGACAAGCUUUUACCCACCUUUAAAAACAUAUAUUAUUCCCUGUAAACUAUAUUAUUGCACCAGCAGGUACAAAUGUAUAUUUAAAGUUGUCAGAACUGUAUUUUGUUGUUCAGGGAGAAACGGGUGAACAAAAUUCCUAAUUUUGGGACUCCCCAGUUUCAAGUUACAAGCAUAUCAAUAGUCAGUCUUAACAAAUAAGAUAAUUAUGUGUGGCCUGUAUUCAACAAUCAAUCGACAUCUGUCUUAACUUCCAACUCACAAAGGGCCCUUUUCUUCACAGACUCAGGUUUGACAAGGUUUUGUGAUCAGAGAAUUCCCCCCAAAAACCCAGCUUAAUAGUCAUCCAGAGUUAGAGCCAACAUGCUGAUUGGACACCAGCCGUAGUAUGGGCGUGGGUACCAGAAACAGUGAUUGCCAAACGAGUUCCACCUGAGGUAAUUAGUGCUGCAUCGCAGGUGUGUGGCUACUGAACCCGGGCUAUCGAGUAGAACAGCCUUGGAUGACGUACAGAUCAUGUGCUUACUAGUUCAGGACGGUUUCGCUUUUAUUUUUUGUAUUAUUAUAAGUGGCUCCCUUCUCCAAAAUUGGCCUGCAUCAUUGUAAUAACACUGGGGGGAAAAAAAAUGUUUGCAUGUGGAAGGAUAUAAGAACAUCUGCUCUGCAGAGGAUUAUGUUGGGGGGUUUUUGUUUUUUUUUUUGCUUCAAAAAUUCAUCGGACAGAACCACAGAUGUCAAAGGGGAAAUGCCCCUGGAGAAGUCCCCAGGAAAAGAUUCACUCCCUGCCUGCAGUUCCAGGCCAGGGCUGGCAUUGUUGGGACGAGCCGCGGAACAGGACGUGGGUCUGGGGGAAAGGCGGAUGGCGUCUGAAGGAAACGCUUAAGGUGCUGCGGGCGGGAGAGAGGAGGUCCCGCGUCGGGGAAAUGCGGCGCACGAACGCCUGCACCGCCUGCCCGCCUGCACCGCCAGCCCGCCAGCCCGCAGCGCACGCCGUGCGUCGCCGUGGAGGCGACUCCCGCGGCCGCAGAUGUGCCAGGAAUACCGCCGCUGCGCCCACACCGAGGCCAAAAAUCACAAACGGCCCAUAAACCCAACUGCCUGCUUAAACUGGGGAAACAGGUGCCGAGGAAAUGCAUCCAAGCACAAACGCGUUAACCCUUAGGACUGCCCUGCAGUGGCUGACGGCUAACUGAACACAUGAAACCUGGUGCAUCUGUCACCAAGUUAUUCCUGUAUAGUGGUGCCACAAAUUAGCAAGCUUGCAGAUGGUACCAUGGGGAAAUUCCAGCAUAGCUGGUGCCGAAGAAUCUGUGACAUGCCUGCACGGUGGCAGGCUAGCUAUGUCUGUAUGGUUAUAGUCUACCUUGUGAGGUUUGUAUGGUUAUGGUCUACCUUAUUAAGUCUGUAUGGUUAUAGCCUACUUUACUAGGUCUGUAUGGUUAUAGCCUACCUUAUGAGGUCUGUAUGGUUAUGGUCUACCUUAUUAAGUCUGUAUGGUUACAGCCUACCUAAUGAGGUCUGUAUUGUUAUGGUCUACCUCAUUAGGCCUGUAUGGUUAUGGUCUACCUUAUUAUGUCUGUAUGGUUAUAGCCUACCAUGGGAGGUCUGUAUAGUUAUGGUCUACCUCAUUAGGCCUGUAUGGUUAUAGCCUACCUCAUUAGGUCUGUAUGGUUAUAGUCUACCUCAUUAUGUCUGUAUGGUUAUAGUCUACCUCAUUAGGUCUGUAUGGUGGUAGCCCACCUUGCUCUACCUGUCGUAAGCAGUCAUGUUCAUGUCACUGCUCCAUUAAUUCAUGAAUAUUAAUGAGCAUUCUAUAUUCUACAGAUUGGCUAUUUUACCAUAAUUAGGUCUGAGUAGAUUAAUCUGAUUA